AACGAACGCUGGCGGCAUGCCUAACACAUGCCAGUCGAACGAGACCUUCGGGUCUAGUGGCGCACGGGUGCGUAACGCGUGGGAAUCUGCCCUUGGGUUCGGAAUAACAGUUGGAAACGACUGCUAAUACCGGAUGAUGACGUAAGUCCAAAGAUUUAUCGCCCAAGGAUGAGCCCGCGUAGGAUUAGCUAGUUGGUGAGGUAAAGGCUCACCAAGGCGACGAUCCUUAGCUGGUCUGAGAGGAUGAUCAGCCACACUGGGACUGAGACACGGCCCAGACUCCUACGGGGGGCAGCAGUGGGGAAUAUUGGACAAUGGGCGAAAGCCUGAUCCAGCAAUGCCGCGUGAGUGAUGAAGGCCUUAGGGUUGUAAAGCUCUUUUACCCGGGAUGAUAAUGACAGUACCGGGAGAAUAAGCUCCGGCUAACUCCGUG
rnacentral:rRNA from 1 species